CGCGCGCCCUCACACCCCGGCGCCCAAGACCCCCGGCCCACGAACCUCACCAGACAGCCGGGUAACUUUCCAGUCUGUUUUCACUGCAGGCUCUCUCCACUUCGCCUUCCCUCCCAGAGCUCAAACAGGCGCACGUACCCUGGACAUGCCCUCCUCUGUCACACCAAUGCCUUUCUACGAAGACAUGUGACCCCGAAGCAGCUCGUCGACGCGCCCCUCCCGGACUCUGGGGCCAUAACUUACAUCUAGUUUGCCAGUUCACGUGAUGCUGGGGGCAGGGGUUGAAUCGAGUUUCGAGGGACAGAGAUUAUACCUUCCGAAUCUGCAGGUCUUUGGGAAGGGAGCUUUCUUGAUCACCCAAGAAGAUAAUGCUCUCUCGUCACCUUUUGAGUACAUUUUUUUUUCCUGAAGGGUGCAAUAUGGUUUCCUAAAUAUAUAUGUACACCCCACCGCAUUAUUUGCUGUGCUCUGGAGUUGUGAGAUCUCCAUGUGGCUUUUUCCCUUUCCUUCUGCCCCCAGAGGAAUUUCACCAGCAAAUUCACGGAGGACAAGGGCAGUUUCUGUGUUGAGAGAUGGAAAGUAUAGUGAGGGUCUAUUCCUCACUGUGCAUCUAGAGAAUGUUACAACCAACUCUCUUGGGUUUUUAAACCACAUGGUGGCAGUGGGGCUCAUGUAACAUUUGUAUACACUGUUACAUACAUAAACUUAUAUUAAAAAUGAGGCCCAUGUAAAA